AAGUCGUAACAAGGUCUCCGUAGGUGAACCUGCGGAGGGAGCAUUACCGAGCGAGGGUCUCCGGGCCCGACCUCCAACCCUUUGUUCUCCGACUCCGUUUCCUCGGGGGCCGACCCGUCUGGGGCCCCCGGGUGGACCAACCAAUAACUCUGCAUCAUUGCGUCCGAGUCACCCUUUGAAUUAAAUCAAAAG
rnacentral:misc_RNA from 1 species